AAUCCCAUUUUAGUACCGUCCCGUCACUUUCCUUUGCACGGACGGCUAUGCUAAUGGGAUAGAAAGAACCCUGUCAUGAUCUGAAGGUGUGGCUGCUGCACUGUGCGCCCCGCUUAAUAAAAUGACAGGACAUUGCCAU
ensembl:snoRNA small nucleolar RNA SNORA29